GUGGCUAUGUCAGAAAUUUAUGAGUUAGCUUUAAGCGUUAAUUAUGGGAGAUAUUCUCUGGUCACU
rnacentral:tRNA from 1 species